AGAGGUAAGGGGUGAUCAGAGCCAUGCCCACACAGCAAGGAGAGGUAAGGGGUGAUCAGAGCCAUGCCCACACAGCAAGGAGAGGUAAGGGCUCUCUAUCACAUUAAAAGCUCACAUUUUGUGUUUAUUCAAUGUUUUCAUAUACCUCAGUUUGUGAUUGACUGCACAAGAUUAUCCAGCUUGCCGAGAGUGGAUGUUACAAUCGGACAAGUUGAGUAUAAGCUGACUGCUGAAGCGUAUGUGAGGAAGGAACAACUGGACGGAAGAGAAAUCUGCUUUAGUGGAUUUGAAGCCUUAGAUCUCUACAUCCAAUCAGGACCUCUCUGGAUUCUCGGAGACGUCUUCCUAACAGAAUUCUACAGCGUUUUCGACCGUGGCAAUGACAGGGUGGGGUUUGCAAAAGCAUGCUGAUGUAAAACACAGGGCAGUGUAAAACAAGAACGAGGCGCUGUUUAAUACCUGUACUUCACACGUCGUGCUGACAACUAGGAGUCCUGGGUUUGAAAUAUGCAAUCAGUGUGACAUUAAAACAAUCAUUGAAUCAAGCUGUCACAUCACACUUUCUAAUUCUAAACAGCAAUUCCUUUAAUGUUUGACGUAGUGCUGAGACAAAUAUUGGAUAUUUGAUUGAAAUGUUAUUCGUGUUCCAUGUGACCUUCAUAUUAGCUCAUAUAACAAUUUGGUGUCAAUGAAUGUAUCAAAAAGAUAUCAUGCAAAGGAAACCAAUGCAUAAUGACGUCAGUUAGAGAUAUUUUGAUGGUGUACCAGGUUUUUUGUAAUGUGCGACAAAUUACUUUUAAUUUCCAAAUAGUUAAUUAUUAAAAUAUUUGAAAAUUCGUUUCAAUUUGGAAAAAAUAGCUUGAAAAAAUAGUUUAACACAGUAAUACGCAUGUGUUCUUGCCCUAACCCCUCUACAUUCCAGACCCUGAGUAACUGCAGACAUUCUCAUAGACCCCUUUCCCAGUUUAGUCCUAAAUCCAAAUCGUGAAACUGCUGUGCUACUAGGUGUGUGUGCGUGCAUGCGUCUGUGCGUGCGUGUCAGUGCAUGCGUGCGUGGGUCUGUGUGUGUGUGUCUGUGCAUGCAUGCAUCUGUAUGUGUGUGUGUGUGCCUGUGCGUGCGUCUGUGU